GACGAACGCUGGCGGCGUGCUUAACACAUGCAAGUCGAACGGUAAGGCCCUUCGGGGUACACGAGUGGCGAACGGGUGAGUAACACGUGGGUGAUCUGCCCUGCACUUCGGGAUAAGCCUGGGAAACUGGGUCUAAUACCGGAUAGGACUACUGCCUGCAUGGGUGGUGGUGGAAAGCUUUUGCGGUGUGGGAUGGGCCCGCGGCCUAUCAGCUUGUUGGUGGGGUGAUGGCCUACCAAGGCGACGACGGGUAGCCGGCCUGAGAGGGUGACCGGCCACACUGGGACGGAGAUACGGCCCAGACUCCUACGGGAGGCAGCAGUGGGGAAUAUUGCACAAUGGGCGCAAGCCUGAUGCAGCGACGCCGCGUGAGGGAUGACGGCCUUCGGGUUGUAAACCUCUUUCAGCACAGACGAAGCGCAAGUGACGGUAGGUGCAGAAGAAGGACCGGCCAACUACGUGCCAGCCGCCGCAGUAA
rnacentral:rRNA from 1 species